rnacentral:lncRNA from 1 species
GAAACUGUUGAUUAGAAACAUAUAUAUGAAUAUGACAAUAUUUUGAUGCAUUCUAUCUUGUUAAAAGUUCUGCAGCCUAAUAAUAGUCUAGGAAAUCAAUAGUAACUUCUUCUUUUCUAACUUGCCUCAAUCAUUAGAACUCGUAAUAAUGAAUCAAUUAAUAUUACAAGCAAUGAAAGUAGCCCUUACACCAGCUACAACAUGUUUUCAUGAAAUAUUUGAGAGCCUUCUUAAAUAAUAUAAGAUAAGGGAGCCCAACAAUUAAGAGCUGAUUCAAUCUGUUGAUAUAUACCCGAAAGCUCCAGGGUAUUGCUGCUUUUUAUUUUUGUUUUUUGUUUUUUUUUUUAUUUUUACUUUUUUGUUAAUGCACUACAGCCCCCUACUCGGUGCUCCGACCAGAAACCAGAACACAAAAAAGAACAAGGACCAUCACGCCCGGUGGGAAAUUAGAAUCCCAUACAUGACAAGCUUUGACCAAGGUUCCAAAACCAGCAACCAAACCUGCCAACCUACUCCCGUCGGAGAACACAAAGGAUAUGAUAAGCAUGGAGCUGCUGGAGGAUAUCCUUAAGUUGAAGAAGACAAGCAUUAUAAAUC